rnacentral:lncRNA from 1 species
GAUAAUAUUAUAGAGAGGUCUGACUAUAUUUUCAGCAUAGUUAGUGAAACAAAUAUAUCUCAAUCGAAUAACACAGAAAUCAAAAUCAGAAUAUAUACAAGGCUGAUAUACUGCUCUUUCUUUUGACAAACUAAAGACAGGUUAUCCUGUCAGUGACUACUCAGUGUCCAUCAGGUGAACAAUCUAUUUAGGCCAAAUGAUAUUAAACAAAUCUCCAAAAGGUAAUUCAAACCGAUAGAUCGUUCAAAAAAAAAAAAAAACAAAGACAGCACACUAACAGCAAUAGCAAGAACAAAUCCAUAAUUAUCGCGAUCAUUUCUAAGGCUCACUUCUAAAUCAAUAACUCAAGUAGAAGAUACAUCUUCUGAAUCCUAGGAAAACAGGGGGUAUACAUUCUAUGUUGACUACAAGCGAUAGUUGAGUAUGUCAUUGAGGUCCAGCACCUGAAACGAGGACACUGAGGAAGGAUUGCUGUUGUUUUACUCCCUAGCAGAACCAACUGUUGAACUUCAUCAUUGGUUCAAUUGGCAGAUAAUUGGGGUUGCCUAGCUCAAAACUCAAACACAUAACUAAUAUGUGCACUCAUGGAACAUUCAUAACUUGAAUGGACUGCAGCAUGUCGGAAACAGCAAUGAUGAGGUCACCUGACUUGAUCAUGCCCCGAGCUUUUAGCAAGGAAAAUGUCUUGUUGAGGUUGCUUUCCAUAUCAUCAGAGAAACUCAAGCGGAAAGGCAUUAGACCCCAUUGCAGGUUCAGGCGUCUGCGUACAGACGUUGUCGUUGUAAAUGCAAAUAUUGGGCAGUCAGGACGGCAGCGUGACAAGAGAGAUGCCAUGUGCCCAUUCUUGGUGUAAACAAAAAGUGCAUCAACUUCCAAAUUGUUAGCUGCAAAUCACAACAGAAAUAAGCAUUGGAUCAAACUAAGGAGAAUGUCUUGUUGAGGUUGCUUUCCAUAUCAUCGGAGAAACUCAAGCGGAAAGGCAUUAGACCCCAUUGCAGGUUCAGGCGUCUGCGUACAGAUGUUGUCGUUGUAAAUGCAAAUAUUGGGCAGUCAGGACGGCAGCGUGACAAGAGAGAUGCCAUGUGCCCAUUCUUGGUGUAAACAAAAAGAGCAUCAACUUCCAAAUUGUUAGCUGCAAAUCACAACAGAAAUAAGCAUUGGAUCAAACAGUAAGACUAGAAUAUAAAAGACCAUGAUUCGAAAUCAGGAUAUGUUUUCUUCUCCUGAGUUCAAACUUCCAUCAAUAUGCUCAGAACAAAGUAACUUGCUAUCGUCCCACAAAACUGUAAU